GGCCGAUUAACAUUGUUAAUUUUCGGAUAAACUUUCUGGAUUUUGCCAAGUGAAGAACUCCAAUGAUAUACAUGUAGGGGCAUGUGUCCAAAGCUGAGCCACAUCAUAACAUACUGAUUGGGAAUAAUGACAUAGUACCAAAAGAUGUGCUUAUAUUGUAAUUAGCAGAUCAUCACAAAUGAACCUGGCAGAUCCUGGUGGAACCUUACCUUACCAUGUUUACAUCUAACCGUCAGUUUGAGCUGUGUGUGGGUGGUAACACGGACUAUAUACAUGUAUUGCCCAGUAAUUGUCUUGUGAUGGACCUUUUUAACAUAUCAAGUAUUUAAUUGAAGACUUAAGAGGUCAGUUUUCAUCAAAGAAUUUAAAAAUACAGUUUUAUUUGUAAGGGUGAAUAUGUGGUUAUAAUGGCAUAAAUGUAUAUCUUGUGUCUGUUUUUUAAUCAGCCUUUCAUCCAUAAUUAUGAAUAUUAAGCAUGAUAAAGUAUUUUAAGGGAAUAUAAUGUAGAAAUGUUAUGUUGUUUCUGCACAAGCAUUUGAAUACAAGAAAUUCUAUGUUCACUCAGCACUGUUUACACAUUGUCAAUGAAUUUGCUUGUUUUAGUUUCCAAAUCUGUCUGUCUCUAGCUCCCUGUGAAUAAUGUACUUUUUUACAUCCAUUGAUUUUAAAUGGGGUGUAUUAUGCACAUGUCACACUUUAUUUACAAAAACAUCAAGGUCAAAGGUAAAAUAUAUGGGUCAAAAUCAUAACUUUUGCAAUAUUGAAGAUAGCAACUUGAUAUUUGGCAUGCAUGUGUACCUCAUGGAGCUGCACAUUUUGAGUGGUGAAAAGUCAAGGUCAUUCUUCAAGGUCAAAGGUCAAAUAUAUGGGUCAAAAUCGCUCAAAAAGGGACAUUGUGUAUUGUGUUUUACAAACACAUACCUUGUUAUGUUAUGUAAUGGCCUUUCAAUCAUCUUAAUUUUUUAUGAAAUACGCUGGAUUUUUCUUUUCAUUUCAUCCAUGAUAUCAUUAUGUUUUUUUGCCUGUUACAUAUUGCGGCCCAAUGUACGUGUUAAGCAGUUUAACCAUUUACAACGGCAUUUGUGGCGAGGCUUACAGUCAUAAGGUGGCGAGGCUUACAGUCAUAAGUACGGUAGCCAGGUGCCUGUGUAUUGAGCUGACAAGAUAGGGAUCAUCACAGCAGGUUGCUAAUACACAGUGUAGACUUCCCCUGUUUUAUUAUUGUCUUUG